UGACGUCUCGAUUCGGCGUCGUCUUGAAGGCAACCACUCAAGGUCGGCGUUUUCCCGUGAUAUCUUAGAAUCAUCCAAGAUAUCUCUACCAUGAUCAGUCACCUUCUCCGUGGUUAAGGUGUUCAGCAAGAUCCUCAGUGCAGCAUUACUUACGAGGAGGCAAGAUAGUGGAAGCAGUGACCGGAAAAAUGGGAAAGUACAAGAAAUUGUCGUCGUCUUACUUCAAGCUUGUCAACCCGCUCAUCAUAGCCAUGGUUGGAGCUGCAAUGUACCUCAUGGUGAUGGCUUGGCUAGAUCCUAAAGGAGUCUCCCCAGUGUUCUUUGGUCGAGUUGCAGAGUUUAUGCAGGGUCGGCACAGAAAAUAACGACCUUAU